rnacentral:lncRNA from 1 species
CACGGUGAUCGUGUGAGAACCGUUCCCACUGGUAACGGCCCCGACCCGGGCUGUGCGCCUGCUGAGCUGGGGUGCUCCGUUUCUCGCUGUGUGUCUUGCCGGUUUACAGCGACUGGCUGCUGUGGCCUCAGCCCUCUUUUGGUGGAUUUUCAGUGUACUGAGUUUUGGGGUUUUGGGCUUUUUUUUUAUUUUUGUUUUUGCUUGAGGAUAAGAGUUAUAAUUUCUAAACUUACCCUGCAAAUUGGAGCAAUAGAAGCUUAUUUAAAAUUUUUCAAAGAAAUUUUGAACUAUAAAUUGAUAUCUUAAUUUUACAAUUAUAUAGCUGAGAAAACUUUGAUUAAAUUGCCUGAUCAGCUUUUCAGGGUAUGAAGGAGGUAGAGCCUGUAGUUAAAUUCCACAUACGUGGUACCGACUGCAAAAAUUCUUGAACAACAUUCUACUUCACCUUUCCCCGAUAUGACUAGAGUGAUUGCAAAAUCCAGUUUCACAUAUUUUAAAUAAAAAUGAAGCUAAGGGAUGAUGAAAAUAUCCUGCUUACCCACACGGAAUCUGAGUUCAGGAUCUAUUGGGAUGUUCUAACCACCACACCUGGAGUAAGCAGGCGGAAGCUCAGAACCCAAAGCAAGCUCCUAAGGUUUAAAAUAAAACUUCAGACACUGAUCUCUUUCAGAUGUUCAACAGAAGCUGUCUCAGCGAAUAUUUAA